UUACUUGUACUUUUGACUUUUUCAUUUUCCAAGAACUGUAGAGUCUUGCUUUUCAACACUUUUUCAUACUAUGGUAAAUUUGGAUUUUUUUUCACGUGCGAGGAUGAAUAUUUACACGAGUUCAUCCUAUUUUCUACUUUGUUCAUCCUUUGUCGUACGUUCAUCAUCUUUUAUGUUUUGAUUAUCCUCUGACAUAGAGGUCAUAAAAUCAUCCUUAUAUUUUAGCAUUGCUUGUCUUCUGACAAAGAUUCAUCUUUUAUUAAUUUAUGACGUACAUUCAUCCUCUGAGUGUUUAUCCUCCAGUUUAUAGAACAUGUUGGAUUAAGUCCAAAAAAAAUUCUUUUUAUCAAGAUGACGAGGAACCUGUUUUCAAGGAUGUUCAUGGAUGAUCAUCAUUUGAUAUGGACUUUUCAUCCUCAUAUCUGGAUUUUUCAUUCUCAAUUAUGGAUUCUUCAACCUCUAAUCUGGAUUCUUCAUCCUCUAAUUUUCAUAUACACAUCUUGACCCAUAGUUUUUCUUGACUUCUUCCAAGAGAUUUUAGGUGUGAUUGAGAUACAACAUAUUACAAUAAUCAUCCUCGGCUUGAGGAUCAUCAUCAUAUUGAUAUUUAUGAAUUAGCCUUCUCAAUUCUUUAAUUGUUGACUUGAUACAAUGCACUUGUUUAUGUGAGUGGCUUCAAGCUUGACUACAUAUGUUCUUUUAACAAAAACUCAAAUGCAAAUAUUAGUAGAUCACCAUUUAGAAAACUUAACAUUUAUUUCAUAAGGUUUGUUGUCAUUAAGACACAUAUCAAAAAGGUUUUUACUUCAACAAUCUCCCCAUUUUUGGUGAUGACAAACCUUAUGAAAUAAUUGUUAAGUUUUCUAAAUGGAUAAAAUAACAAAUGAAAGAAUGUUCUUAGAUAUGCAAUUAAACUCCCCCUAAACAUAUGCAAGAUGUUUAAUUUGUUAACAUUCUUCAUUAAUCAUUUACAUCCUAUACUUUUCUUCUAAAUUAUCUCCCCCUUUUGACAUCGAUCAAAAAGUUUGAGGGGGGUGAAAGAUAAUUAUAGGCAACAAGAAUAGAAAUGGAUCACAUAAAUAUCAUGUAGUUGAGAGGUUCAUUCUCAUAUCAAAUUUGCAUUUAACAUUAAAUCACAUAGUAUGUAAGAGCACCAUUUAUUAUUUCAGUUAACAUUGCAAUCAAGAUAUAGACAAUGAUAACUAAAAUAAUAUUCUCAAAACAUAUUAAAACAAUGCACCAAUUUCAACACAUCUAAAGUAUAAACUUUAUACUCUAAAAUUUUAGAGAAAGUGAUUUGAUUUCAAAUUCAAUGAAUGUUUCAAAGAAAAUAAUAAUUUUAAAUAUAUAAAACUCCCUCUGAGUUUUAUGUGAUGGAUAUCCUCUAAUAUUUUGAAAUUCUAAAUUUUAGAGGAUGUUAACUUUUUUCAAAUAUAUAAAACUCCACAAGAGUUUUAACCACAUUUUCAAAUAUAUAAAACCCCCCUGAGUUUUAACCACAUUUUCUUUUAGAACAUGACCAUGCUCAUUUUAUGCAAAAAUAUAUAAUAAUAUGCAUCAUGAUGCUCACGUCUUUAUUUUUUAGUUCGUAACAUGUAAGUGUAAUGAGAUAAUCAUCUAACAAUAUUUCAAACACAUUUUAAUGCUUAAGAAUGAGUCAAAUAUAAGUUUAAGAAGAUAAUAUGAAGACUUCAAACUUCUUGAACCAGAUUUGAAAUUAAUAGACAAUUAUCACCCAUUAUAAUCAUAAAUGCCAAUCAUAUAUCCUCUUGUUGAGUUUCUUUCAAAAAUAUAAAUCCUAAAUUAGGAUAUCCAUUUAAAACAUGUUAAGAAGGAUAUUUGAUAUAUAAUGCAUGUUAGAAUCUCAAUUUUUUUGAAAAGCCAAAUAAAGAUUUCAUACUUAGGCGUCAAACAAAGUAUAUGUUAACCAAGAUAUGCAUGUCAAGUUGGAUUCAUCCAAAAUUUAUAUUGAGAUAAAUGCGCGUGUAUAAGACUCAUAGAAAUAGGAUAUGUCAUAAAGAAUUCACUACAAUUCAGUCUUAUGCAAAUGUAACAUGAUAAUUAAAUCAUGGAUUAUUUUGCAAUGUGUGAGAAAAUAUCAUGCAACAAACUAUGCUUAACAAAAUAGUUUUAUUUUUUGUCAAAACAUUAAAGAACAUCAAUCCAUUUGAAAUGCAUUCUUAACAUGUUAUUAAAGCACCAUGCUAUAAUAAAAAAAAAAUUGUGUGCUUGUUUAUGCAUUGAAUAACACUAUAAGAAAAUAGAUUUCAUUAGACAUAGAUUCGAGUCAUCAUAAAAAGUGAUGCAAUACAUUUAUCUUUAAAUUUAUAUAAUUGCAUCGAAAAUUCUAGCAUGUAUUCUUGAUUUAAAAUCAUCCAAUCAAUCACAUAUUAUUAUUGCAUCAUAAGAUUAAUAAUAUGUAAACACCAUAAGAAAUGAGAUUGAGUGUACCUCCUUCAGUGACUUUCCUCAUUAGAGGAUUAAUGAUCCGAGAGUCUUCAAAAAGAAUUUUGGUGUCUCCCAAUUCUCAUUCAUUUUACUUGUUGAUGGAUAUUUCAACUUUUGUAGAAUUUUCUGUCAACAAAUUGGCACGUCUAGUGGCACAAAGUUAGAGAUAGUUUGUGUCAAAGUUCAUUAGCUUUAAGCAAUUAAGAAACAAAAAAGAAAUGGCUAAUCCUAAUAGAAAAAGGAAUGCCAACUCUCAAAACAAAAUAAUAGUAAUAACACUAAUUCGAAUAAGGAUGAUCAAGAGGUAAACAUGCCUCAAAAUGAUGAUCACAUCGUGGCUGGAGAAUUGCCUUCCAACCUUGAUAUUAAUCAAAUAAAUCCUAGCACAAAUCCACUUGCACCUAUUCGAAGAACAAAUCCUGGCAUGCCUCUGUAUGGACUUCCACCAGGUUUUGUUUCUCCAUCAUUAGUCACAAAUUUCCCAGAGUCUUAUGCAACCGGGAAUUAUCGAGUUCGAAUAAACCAUGUAGGGAUUAGUAACACUAUUUUUCUCUAUGGGUUGAGUUCCAAUCAGAUUCCAUCUUCAGUUACUAACAUUACUUUGCAGGCUUUUAGACAACAAAUGGAUGAUAGUAAUCAUGAAAUUAUGAAUAUCAUCACUCAUCAAAUUGCUACUGUUUUC
rnacentral:lncRNA from 1 species